UACGUAGGGUGCGAGCGUUAAUCGGAAUUACUGGGCGUAAAGCGUGCGCAGGCGGUUUUUUAAGCCAGAUGUGAAAUCCCCGGGCUCAACCUGGGAACUGCAUUUGGAACUGGAAGACUAGAGUAUAGCAGAGGGGGGUAGAAUUCCACGUGUAGCAGUGAAAUGCGUAGAUAUGUGGAGGAAUACCAAUGGCGAAGGCAGCCCCCUGGGUUAAUACUGACGCUCAUGCACGAAAGCGUGGGGAGCAAACAGG
rnacentral:rRNA from 1 species